rnacentral:rRNA from 1 species
UGGGGAAUAUUGGACAAUGGGGGCAACCCUGAUCCAGCCAUGCCGCGUGAGUGAUGAAGGCCCUAGGGUUGUAAAGCUCUUUUGUGCGGGAAGAUAAUGACGGUACCGCAAGAAUAGGCCCCGGCUAACUUCGUGCCAGCAGCCGCGGUAAUACGAAGGGGGCUAGCGUUGCUCGGAAUCACUGGGCGUAAAGGGUGCGUAGGCGGGUUUCUAAGUCAGAGGUGAAAGCCUGGAGCUCAAACUCCAGAACUGCCUUUGAUACUGGAAGUCUUGAGUAUGGCAGAGGUGAGUGGAACUGCGAGUGUAGAGGUGAAAAUUCGUAGAUAUUCGCAAGAACACCAGUGGCGAAGGCGGCUCACUGGGCCAUUACUGACGCUGAGGCACGAAAAGCGUGGGGAGCAAAACAGGAUUAGAUACCCUGGUAGUCCACGCCGUAAAACGAUGAAUGCCAGCCGUUAGUGGGUUUUACUCACUAGUGGCGCAGCUAACGCUUUAAGCAUUCCGCCUGGGGAGUACGGUCGCAAGAUUAAAAACUUAAAUGAAUUGACGGGGUCAUAGCUG